UUAGAUACCCUAUUAUAUUUAAACAAAUUGGGUAGUAUUAUUAAUAAAAACCUUUAUACUUUGGCGGCAUUUUAUCUUAUUAGAGGAAUAUGUUCAUUAAUCGAAACCACACGAUAGUUUUUACUUACUAUAAAAUUUUAUAUACCCCCGUCUAAAGAAUUUAUUUAAAAUUUUUAUUCCAAAUUAUAUUAAAAAAAGUUAGGUAAAGGUGUAGACUAUUAGUAAGAUUAAAUGUAUUACAUUAAAAAAAAAUUUAAGGAUAAAACAGUUAACUGUUUAUUAAAAGAGGAUUUAUAAGUAAUUUACUUUUAAUAAAAAUUAAUGAAUAAGAAAAUAAAUGUGCACAUAUCGCCCGUCACUCUCACAU
rnacentral:rRNA from 1 species